rnacentral:snRNA from 1 species
AGCUUUGUACAGGGGCAGUAUUGUAGCCAGUGAGGUUAAUCCGAGGCAUGAUUAUUGCUAAUUGAAAUCAACUCUCAAAAAAU